GGGUGGGGCACAUUUCUUGCUUUCCUCUCCUUUCUUUCUUUGCCAUGAGAAACUCUCUUUUUGCUUGCCUAUUCAAAAGUGAGGUCUGUCUAGGUUGCCCAAGUGUUUCCCGUGCCUCAGCAUGUCUUGUGAGUAGCUGGGGCCGUGGGUGCUAGACUCAAUACACUGUUCCACCGAUCUGAUUUUUGACUGCUCUUAUUGUUCUGUUCCAGAAUAUUCGGCUCUCCUUUCUUCUUCUUCUAAAAAAAAUGUGGCAUCACAUGAUAUGUGACCAGGUUGGAGGCAUCAGGAUUUUUUUUUCCUUCACAGCUGCCAAACAUGCAGUAGGACACAUCUGUACCUCCCACACUGGAGGAUCUCUAAAGGACCUUCAAGGAAAAUACAAAAUAGAAGAAGUGAAUCCUAGAGAUUCUUCCCAUGAGAUCCCUCUCUUUCUUCCACUUUUUUCUUUGGGGAAAUGAAAAUCCAGGUUUAAAUAAAUAAAAACAGAAAUUUGAAACACAGACUGGAUUCUCUAGGUGCCAAGUAAGUCUACAGAUAAAAUUAGGUCAAUCCUCCAUGGAUCCCAGAACAAAUCUGCAGGUACUCAAUGCCCU
rnacentral:lncRNA from 1 species